rnacentral:tRNA from 1 species
GGCCCCAUCGUCUAGCCUGGUUUAGGACAUUUGGUUUUCAUCCAAAAGAUCACCGGUUCAAAUCCGGUUGGGGCCG